GGUAGAAUGGCCGAGAAAAUAGGCGGUAAAUUGUAAAUUUAUUAACGAGUUUAACUCUUCUGUCA
rnacentral:tRNA from 1 species